CACUGUCUAUCACCACGCUCUAGGUAAACACUGUCUAUCACUACGCUCUAGGUAAACACUGUCUAUCACCACGCUCUAGGUAAACACUGUCUAUCACCACGCUCUAGGUAAACACUGUCUAUUACCACGCUCUAGGUAAACACUGUCUAUCACCACGCUCUAGGUAAACACUGUCUAUCACCACGCUCUAGGUAAACACUGUCUAUCACCACGCUCUAGGUAAACACUGUCUAUCACCACGCUCUAGGUAAACACUGUCUAUCACCACGCUCUAGGUAAACACUGUCUAUCACCACGCUCUAGGUAAACACUGUCUAUCACCACGCUCUAGGUAAACACUGUCUAUCACCACGCUCUAGGUAAACACUGUCUAUCACCACGCUCUAGGUAAACACUGUCUAUCACUACGCUCUAGGUAAACACUGUCUAUCACCACGCUCUAGGUAAACACUGUCUAUCACCACGCUCUAGGUAAACACUGUCUAUCACCACGCUCUAGGUAAACACUGUCUAUCACCACGCUCUAGGUAAACACUGUCUAUUACCACGCUCUAGGUAAACACUGUCUAUCACCACGCUCUAGGUAAACACUGUCUAUCACCACGCUCUAGGUAAACACUGUCUAUCACCACGCUCUAGGUAAACACUGUCUAUCACCACGCUCUAGGUAAACACUGUCUAUCACCACGCUCUAGGUAAACACUGUCUAUCACCACGCUCUAGGUAAACACUGUCUAUCACCACGCUCUAGGUAAACACUGUCUAUCACCACGCUCUAGGUAAACACUGUCUAUCACUACGCUCUAGGUAAACACUGUCUAUCACCACGCUCUAGGUAAACACUGUCUAUCACCACGCUCUAGGUAAACACUGUCUAUCACCACGCUCUAGGUAAACACUGUCUAUCACCACGCUCCAGGUAAACACUGUCUAUCACUACGCUCUAGGUAAACACUGUCUAUCACCACGCUCUAGGUAAACACUGUCUAUCACCACGCUCUAGGUAAACACUGUCUAUCACCACGCUCUAGGUAAACACUGUCUAUCACUACGCUCUAGGUAAACACUGUCUAUCACCACGCUCUAGGUAAACACUGUCUAUCACCACGCUCUAGGUAAACACUGUCUAUCACCACGCUCUAGGUAAACACUGUCUAUCACCACGCUCUAGGUAAACACUGUCUAUUACCACGCUCC